GAGGAUACAGCUCAGUGGUAAAGCAUGUGCUUAGCAUUGCACAAGGCCCUGGGUUCAAUCCCCAACACACACA
rnacentral:tRNA from 1 species